CUCGGCCAGAGUGCAGCAGCCCCUGUAACCAAACAGCCUCUGGAAGCACUACCAGGCACCAACAUCAUCUGAAGGUUCCUCCUUUUUCGGUCCACACCAUCAUUCUCUCUCCUCUCGCCUCUCUCUGGAAAAGAGAGAUGAACCGACCGGAACACCGAAUUAUAGCUCAUAACCGUGAAACCCUAACAACCUGAAAAUAAAUUCCCCAGAUUCUCUUCUUGCCUCCCUUUCCAUCCCAUUCUUUUCUUCUUCACUGUUCUCAUCGUUCAUUGCACUAUAUGCUUCCUAGAAAGAGAGCUGUUGGAGGAGAGGCAGUGGUAGCAGAAGAAGAAGAAGACAACUGCAGCGCCGGAUCUUUGAAGAAGCCUCGGAUCUCGACGGCGACCACCGGUACGACCGAAACCACGGGGAACGUCAACAGCAACAGCAGCAUCGGCAACAACAACAGCAACCACAGCAGAGGCGACGCUAAACCGCCGAUUAUGGCGCUGGGCGAAGGGAACCCUCCUGAUAUCGAUGAGGAUCUGCAUAGCCGCCAGCUCGCGGUGUACGGCCGUGAGACGAUGCGGCGGCUCUUUGCUUCGAACGUUCUCAUUUCUGGAAUGCAGGGCCUGGGUGCCGAGAUUGCAAAGAACCUUAUUCUUGCUGGUGUAAAAUCUGUGACAUUGCAUGAUGAAGGUUCUGUUGAGUUGUGGGACUUGUCCAGCAAUUUCAUUUUUACUGAGGAUGAUGUGGGGAAGAACAGGGCACUUGCUUCUGUCCAGAAAUUGCAAGAAUUGAACAACUCUGUGGUCAUUUCUACUUUAACAACUGAAUUGACAAAGGAACAACUUUCUGAUUUUCAGGCUGUAGUAUUUACUAAUAUCAGCAUAGAGAAAGCAAUUGAAUUGGAUGAUUACUGCCAUAAUCACCAGCCUCCUAUCUCUUUCAUCAAAUCUGAAGUGCGAGGCCUUUUUGGUAGUGUAUUUUGUGACUUUGGCCCUGAGUUUACAGUCUUUGAUGUUGAUGGUGAGGAUCCACAUACAGGCAUAAUUGCAUCUAUUAGCAAUGACAACCCUGCCCUUGUGGCAUGUGUCGAUGACGAGAGGCUUGAGUUUCAGGAUGGGGAUCUGGUUGUGUUCUCUGAAGUCCAGGGAAUGACAGAACUGAAUGAUGGAAAGCCAAGGAAGGUUAAGAAUGCAAGGCCUUACUCAUUCUCUCUUGAUGAGGAUACCACUAAUUAUGGCGCAUAUGAGAAAGGUGGUAUUGUCACACAGGUGAAGCAACCUAAGGUGUUAAACUUUAAGCCCUUGAAAGAGGCACUCAAGGAUCCUGGUGAUUUCCUCCAGAGUGACUUCUCCAAGUUUGAUCGUUCACCACUCCUUCACUUGGCAUUUCAAGCUCUGGAUAAGUUUAUAAUGGAGUUGGGACGCUUCCCUGUUGCUGGAUCUGAGGAGGAUGCUCAGAAGCUCAUAUCUUUUGCCUGUAACAUCAAUGAUAGCUCAACAGUUGGGAAGCUUGAAAAGAUUGAUCAAAAGCUUCUUCAUCACUUUACAUUUGGUGCUAGAGCUGUGCUAAAUCCCAUGGCUGCCAUGUUUGGUGGUGUUGUUGGACAGGAAGUCGUGAAGGCUUGCUCUGGGAAAUUCCAUCCACUUUUUCAGUUUUUCUACUUUGAUUCAGUUGAGUCCCUUCCUACAGAGCCCCUGGAUCCCAGUGACUUGAAGCCCAUAAACAGUCGUUAUGAUGCACAAAUUUCGGUGUUUGGAGCCAAACUCCAAAAAAAACUGGAGGAUGCAAAAGUGUUUAUUGUAGGAUCUGGUGCACUAGGUUGUGAGUUUUUGAAGAAUGUAGCUUUGAUGGGAGUUUGUUGUGGUAACCAGGGGAAGCUAACAAUUACUGAUGAUGAUGUCAUUGAAAAAAGUAACCUCAGCAGGCAGUUUCUUUUCCGGGACUGGAACAUUGGUCAGGCUAAAUCAACAGUUGCUGCUUCAGCUGCUGCUUCAAUAAACCAUCGUCUCCAUAUUGAAGCAUUGCAAAACCGUGCAAGCCCUGAGACAGAGAAUGUGUUUGAUGACACAUUCUGGGAGAAUCUGAGUGUUGUCAUCAAUGCACUAGAUAAUGUGAACGCUAGACUUUACAUUGAUCAAAGGUGCUUAUAUUUCCAGAAACCACUUCUGGAAUCUGGAACGCUAGGUGCCAAGUGCAACACUCAGAUGGUUAUUCCUCAUCUGACAGAGAACUAUGGUGCGUCAAGGGACCCACCUGAGAAGCAAGCACCUAUGUGCACUGUGCAUUCAUUCCCACACAAUAUUGACCACUGUUUGACUUGGGCUCGAUCUGAGUUUGAGGGUUUGCUUGAGAAGACACCAGCCGAGGUAAAUGCAUUCCUGCUCAAUCCAAUUGAGUAUGCAUUUGCAAUGAAGAAUGCUGGCGAUGCUCAGGCCAGAGACAACUUGGAACGUGUUAUUGAGUGCCUUGACAAAGAGAGAUGCGAAACAUUCCAGGACUGCAUAACCUGGGCUCGCCUGAAGUUUGAAGACUACUUUGCCAACCGUGUGAAGCAGUUGACAUUCACUUUUCCCGAGGAUGCUGCUACCAGUAAUGGGGCACCAUUCUGGUCUGCCCCAAAGCGGUUCCCCCGGCCAUUGCAGUUCUCAAUUGAUGAUCCUGGUCAACUUCACUUUGUAAUGGCGGCAUCCAUACUGCGAGCGGAGACAUUUGGCAUACCGAUUCCUGACUGGGUUAAGUCCCCCAUGAAGUUUGCUGAUGCUGUUAGUAAGGUGAUAGUCCCUGAUUUCCUUCCCAAGAAAGAUGUUAAGAUCGUGACAGAUGAGAAAGCAACAAGCCUUUCCACUGCAUCGGUUGAUGAUGCAGCAGUCAUCAAUGAGUUGAUCAUGAAGUUAGAAAAAUGCCAGAAGAAGCUGCCUCCAGGUUUCAGAAUGAAUCCUAUUCAGUUUGAGAAGGAUGAUGACUCCAACUAUCAUAUGGACCUAAUUUCUGCACUUGCUAACAUGAGGGCGAGGAACUAUAGCAUUCCUGAAGUUGACAAGCUUAAAGCCAAAUUCAUUGCGGGUAGGAUCAUUCCUGCAAUUGCAACCUCCACUGCUAUGGCAACAGGUCUUGUCUGCUUGGAGCUGUACAAAGUUCUACAUGGAGGGCACAAAAUGGAGGACUACAAGAAUACCUUUGCCAACCUGGCACUCCCUCUUUUCUCCAUGGCUGAGCCUGUACCACCCAAAGUGAUAAAGCAUCAGGACAUGAGCUGGACUGUAUGGGACAGGUGGAUUCUUGGAGACAAUCCAACUUUAAGAGAGCUUCUCCAAUGGCUGAGAGACAAGGGAUUGAAUGCUUACAGCAUCUCUUAUGGAAGUUGCUUGCUUUAUAACAGUAUGUUCCCUAGGCAUAAGGAACGAAUGGACAGAAAGUUGGUGGAUCUGGCUAAGGAAAUAGGGAAGGCAGAACUGCCUACAUAUCGAAGGCAUUUUGAUGUGGUUGUCGCUUGUGAAGAUGAUGAAGACAAUGAUAUUGACAUCCCUCAAAUUUCCAUUUACUUCAGGAUCUCUGAUUUACGGCUUACGCAGCAGGGAUUGGGGAGAAAGGGACUGUCAUGCAUGUUCUUUGAUGUUUGGGGACAACCCCCAUCUGUAACCCUUAUUAAGGAAUUGCAGUGCGUGAACACCCGGGAGUCUAUGGGUCAAGGAACAUACUGGUCCAAGUCCAUGUCUACCUAGGUAUUUUAUUUUGAGAGAGGACCUACAGAGAAGGACUCUGCAAUUAUCUUUUCAUUUCCUUAAAGAAAUGACAAAGGGGACAAGCAUUGACACAUGAAGACCUACGAGUGGGGAAUGGAGUUUUGGACUUUAGAUGACUAGUUGUCAUGGCUCUGUUGCUUGGGAGGCCAGAAAAUUGGAUCUCUCCCAUAUGAGAAAAUUGUUAUUGCCUCUGCAUCUUGGGCAAUUGUUUUGUAGUCCAAACAUAAAAAGAGUUUUCCUUUGUAGUUUUGUCCACGAUCUAAGAUCAAAGAUCUUGAUCUUCAUAAUUGGGAGAGUAUUAGAGUCAUGGUUCUUCCUCCCUCAUAAACAAUUCAAUUAUUCUUUUCUUGGAUAAGAUAAGGAUUGCGACAAACAUUCCCAGAUUUUUGUGCUUUUGAUGUGCUUGAACUCUCCUGUAUUUGAUAUUGUUCCGGUUUUAGUACUAUUCUUUGAGGAAUGCACUAUUGCGAGGCCUUAAUUAAAAAAAAAUACAUGGCUAAUGAUCCAUGAAACAGGCUAUAUUCUAUAUAGGCUUAAAGCUGUCUUUAUGCGCAUCCUGUGUUUUGCAUGAAACUUGUUUCAAAUUAUACACAUCACCAUUGUCUUUUCUUUUAGAUUUCUCUAGCACACAUAAGAUCGAAGAUGGUAAGGCACCAUCUCUCAGAUGUUUUGUCGAUGAUUCAUCUCAACGCUUACCAUUAUUUUCUUCCAAUUUUUACUCAAGAUUCUCCAUCCUGGCUUGUUAACACAAAAUUCAUUGAAGUUAGCUGAUUGAAUUCACGAUGAUUAUUGGUGCUAGAAGAAAAUCUUGACAGUUCCAUGAGAUAAAAAUUGUGGGCUAUGUGCCAUCACCAUGGAUAAGAUAAGAAUUUCUGUUUCAGGCAGUCCAAAGUUUUAAAUCCUCUGGAUCUAUUUUAAUACUCCUAUGUCUUGUAUUUUAUUUGUACGAAUACUUGAUGCAAUAUAUAAUUGCUAUAAUGUAAAAAUAUUCCUAAGCUUAUAUUCAUUCUAAAUUUGCCACACAA